rnacentral:rRNA from 1 species
AACGAACGCUGGCGGCGUGCUUAACACAUGCAAGUCGCGCGUGAAAGCCCUUCGGGGUGAGUAAAGCGGCGCACGGGUGAGUAAUACAUAGGAACAUGCCUAUAAGUGGGGAAUAACCGCGGGAAACUGCGGCUAAUACCGCAUGUGCUCGCAAGAGUAAAGGUGGCCUCUCCUUGGAAGCUAUCGCUUAUUGAGUGGCCUAUGUCCCAUUAGCUAGUUGGUGAGGUAACUGCUCACCAAGGCGACGAUGGGUAGCUGGUCUUAGAGGACGAUCAGCCACACUGGGACUGAGACACGGCCCAGACUCCUACGGGAGGCCGCAGUGGGGAAUUUUGGACAAUGGGCGAAAGCUGAUCCAGCCAUGCCGCGUGAGUGAAGAAGGCCUCGG